rnacentral:rRNA from 1 species
UACGUAGGGGGCAAGCGUUGUCCGGAUUUAUUGGGCGUAAAGCGCUCGCAGGCGGCUCGAUGCGUCGUGCGUGAAACACCCCGGCUCAACUGGGGAGGGUCGUGCGAUACGGUCGGGCUGGAGGCCAGUAGGGGGAUGCGGAAUUCCCGGUGUAGUGGUGGAAUGCGUAGAUAUCGGGAGGAACACCAGUGGCGAAGGCGGUUGCCUGGAGCUUUGCUGACGCUGAGGCGCGAAAGCGUGGGGAGCGAUCCGG